rnacentral:rRNA from 1 species
AGUGAACGCUGGCGGUAGGCCUAACACAUGCAAGUCGAACGGCAGCACAGUAAGAGCUUGCUCUUACGGGUGGCGAGUGGCGGACGGGUGAGGAAUACAUCGGAAUCUACUUUUUCGUGGGGGAUAACGUAGGGAAACUUACGCUAAUACCGCAUACGACCUACGGGUGAAAGCAGGGGACCUUCGGACCUUGCGCGAUUGAAUGAGCCGAUGUCGGAUUAGCUAGUUGGCGGGGUAAAGGCCCACCAAGGCGACGAUCCGUAGCUGGUCUGAGAGGAUGAUCAGCCACACUGGAACUGAGACACGGUCCAGACUCCUACGGGAGGCAGCAGUGGGGAAUAUUGGACAAUGGGCGCAAGCCUGAUCCAGCCAUACCGCGUGGGUGAAGAAGGCCUUCGGGUUGUAAAGCCCUUUUGUUGGGAAAGAAAAGCAGUAGGUUAAUACCCCGCUGUUCUGACGGUACCCAAAGAAUAAGCACCGGCUAACUUCGUG